rnacentral:misc_RNA from 1 species
UGACUAAUGGCUACUGGCCCCAUUCACUUCAGGGUGCAAUUCUUCUAGAUGUGUUGCCAGAAUUUGUCCAUAAUAAGUUGAUGAGUAAUAUAUUGCUGAGCGCUAGAAAGAGAAAUCUGAAAAAAAGAGAAAGAGAAAGCAAGAAAGAUUAGAAUUUUAGUGCAUCAUGAGAUGACUUUUACCAUAGCAACGGUAUGCCGUGCAUCGUAGAGAGGGAGAAAAUUAAUCCAUAAUAUAUUAACUAUCAAGUUCUUGGAGUGCUUUGCUACUUGAACUCUCACGAACAAUGGUUCAAAUUCAUUCCAUAAUACCAUAUAUGGUAUUCAGGAUUUAAGGUGUUUAGCCUAUUGUCUAAAAUAUUCUGUCACUGUAAUAUCAAAUUAUUUGUAAUUUUUCUUGAUUUAUAGUGUAACUUUGUCUUCACAAAAAAUACCACUCAAUUUAGUCUCAUUGUAACUACAUGUAUGGUUUCCUGAAUAAAAAAAUAUAAA